rnacentral:rRNA from 1 species
AUUGAACGCUGGCGGCAUGCUUUACACAUGCAAGUCGAACGGUAACAGGCCGCAAGGUGCUGACGAGUGGCGAACGGGUGAGUAAUGCAUCGGAACGUGCCCAGUCGUGGGGGAUAACGCAGCGAAAGCUGUGCUAAUACCGCAUACGAUCUAUGGAUGAAAGCGGGGGACCGUGAGGCCUCGCGCGAUUGGAGCGGCCGAUGUCAGAUUAGGUAGUUGGUGGGGUAAAGGCUCACCAAGCCGACGAUCUGUAGCUGGUCUGAGAGGACGACCAGCCACACUGGGACUGAGACACGGCCCAGACUCCUACGGGAGGCGGCAGUGGGGAAUUUUGGACAAUGGGCGCAAGCCUGAUCCAGCAAUGCCGCGUGCAGGAAGAAGGCCUUCGGGUUGUAAACUGCUUUUGUACGGAACGAAAAGGCUCUGGUUAAUACCUGGGGCUCAUGACGGUACCGUAAGAAUAAGCACCGGCUAACUACGUGCCAGCCGCCGCCGUAACAC